AAGGAAAUGUGCCUGAACUUUAAAGGGAUACUUUGAUAGAGUACACCACAGGGGUUAAAAUCCCCUCAUCUCC
rnacentral:tRNA from 1 species